rnacentral:rRNA from 1 species
UCAAGGAAGAUAAUGACCGUACUUGAGGAGGAAGCCCCCGGCUAACUACGUGCCAGCAGCCGCGGUAAUACGUAGGGGGCUAGCGUUAUCCGGAAUUACUGGGCGUAAAGGGUGCGUAGGUGGUUUCUUAAGUCAGAGGUGAAAGGCUACGGCUCAACCGUAGUAAGCCUUUGAAACUGGGAAACUUGAGUGCAGGAGAGGAGAGUGGAAUUCCUAGUGUAGCGGUGAAAUGCGUAGAUAUUAGGAGGAACACCAGUUGCGAAGGCGGCUCUCUGGACUGUAACUGACACUGAGGCACGAAAGCGUGGGGAGCAAACAGGAUUAGAUACCCUGGUAGUCCACGCCGUAAACGAUGAGUACUAGCUGUCGGAGGUUACCCCCUUCGGUGGCGCAGCUAACGCAUUAAAUACUCCGCCUGGGAAGUACGCUCGCAAGAGUGAAACUCAAAUGAAUUGACGGAA